rnacentral:rRNA from 1 species
AGUGAACGCUGGCGGUAGGCCUAACAUAUGUAAGUCGAACGGCAGCACAGUAAGAGCUUGCUCUUACGGGUGGCGAGUGGCGGACGGGUGAGGAAUACAUCGGAAUCUACUUUUUCGUGGGGGAUAACGUAGGGAAACUUACGCUACUACCGCAUACGACCUACGGGCGAAAGCAGGGGUUCUUCGGACCUUGCGCGAUUGAAUGAGCCGAUGUCGGAUUAGCUAGUUGGCGGGGUAAAGGCCCACCAAGGCGACGAUCCGUAGCUGGUCUGAGAGGAUGAUCAGCCACACUGGAACUGAGACACGGUCCAGACUCCUACGGGAGGCAGCACUGGGGAAUAUUGGACAAUGGGCGCAAGCCUGAUCCAGCCAUACCGCGUAGGUGAAGAAGGCCUUCGGGUUGUAAAGCCCUUUUGUAGGGAAAGAAAAGCAGCAGAUUAAUACCCCGCUAUUCUGACGGUACCCAAAGAAUAAGCACCGGCUAACUUCGUG